GUUUAAGUUGAAGGUAUAGUUUAGGGAUGCUUUUGGCCAAAAACUCGCAGGAGGACUAUCAAACUCGGACUUUGAUACCGCUUUAAAUGGACAAUCUAUCUGAGUGCACUUCGGAGGUCUUACUCUGAUACCAUUUUAAAUGGGCAUUCAACGUAGCUCAAUCUUAAAAGUUAGUUCGAGAGGGAGGAUUGUCUCAAUACAUGUAAGGUAGUCUAGACCCUUCCAUCACAUAUAAGAUAUUCUUCUUUCAUCACAUAUGUACAAGUAUUUGUUUCCUUUUUCAAAACUUAAUAAUGACCUGAGUAGCAUGGGGCACAUGGAAUCCCAUUUGAAUCAGCAAGGUUCGCCUUGCAAGACUAAAUAUUCCUAGAUGACCGAUAAAGAAGUAGUACUGUGAGGGAAGGGUGAAGAGAACCCCAUCGAGGAGUGAAAUAGAACAUGAAACCGUAAGCUCC
rnacentral:ncRNA from 1 species